GGGGUGUGGCUUCUCUGUUUACCACACACCCGAGAAGAAUCUGGGGCCAUAAUGAGGGACACAGCACCAUGUCCUCUCCAUAAGCAGAUCCCCUACUUGU
rnacentral:snoRNA from 1 species